UACAGAGGGUGCAAGCGUUAAUCGGAAUUACUGGGCGUAAAGCGCGCGUAGGUGGUUUGUUAAGUUGGAUGUGAAAUCCCCGGGCUCAACCUGGGAACUGCAUUCAAAACUGACAAGCUAGAGUAUGGUAGAGGGUGGUGGAAUUUCCUGUGUAGCGGUGAAAUGCGUAGAUAUAGGAAGGAACACCAGUGGCGAAGGCGACCACCUGGACUGAUACUGACACUGAGGUGCGAAAGCGUGGGGGAGCAAAACAGGA
rnacentral:rRNA from 1 species